rnacentral:tRNA from 1 species
GCCGGGGUAGCUCAGUCGGUUAGAGCAUGCGUCUCAUAAGCGCAGGGUCGGCGGUUCGAGUCCGCCCUCCGGCACCA